CCUCCGAGUGGGGAACAACACCGGGAAACUGGUGCUAAUACCGCAUAACAUCGUCCGAUCUUCGGGUCUAACGAUCAAAGCCGGGGACCGCAAGGCCUGGCGCUUGGAGAGGAGCCCGCGUCCGAUUAGCUAGUUGGUGGGGUAAUGGCCUACCAAGGCGACGAUCGGUAGCCGGCCUGAGAGGGCGGACGGCCACACUGGGACUGAGACACGGCCCAGACUCCUACGGGAGGCAGCAGUGGGGAAUUUUUCGCAAUGGGCGAAAGCCUGACGAAGCAACGCCGCGUGGAGGAUGAAGGCCUUCGGGUCGUAAACUCCUGUCGACCGGGACGAAAGUAGGAUGGCCUAAUACGCCGAUCUAUUGACUGUACCGGUGGAGGAAGCCACGGCUAACUCUGUGCCAGCAGCCGCGGUAAUACAGAGGUGGCAAGCGUUGUUCGGAAUUACUGGGCGUAAAGGGCGCGUAGGCGGCUUGGUCAGUCCCGUGUGAAAUCCCUCGGCUCAACUGAGGAACUGCACGGGAAACUGCCUGGCUUGAGUUCGGGAGAGGGAAGCGGAAUUCCGGGUGUAGCGGUGAAAUGCGUAGAUAUCCGGAGGAACACCGGUGGCGAAGGCGGCUUCCUGGACCGACACUGACGCUGAGGCGCGAAAGCUAGGGGAGCAAACGGGAUUAGAUACCCCGGUAGUCCUAGCUGUAAACGAUGAGUGCUGGGUGUAGGGGGUAUCAACCCCCCCUGUGCCGAAGCUAACGCAUUAAGCGCUCCGCCUGGGGAGUACGGUCGCAAGGCUG
rnacentral:rRNA from 1 species